rnacentral:rRNA from 1 species
GACGAACGCUGGCGGCGUGCUUAACACAUGCAAGUCGAACGAAGUGGCGAACGGGUGAGUAACGAGUAAUCAACCUGCCCGUCAGAGGGGGACAACAGUUGGAAACGACUGCUAAUACCGCAUACGGAAGGAGGGGAUUGCGUCUGAUUAGCUAGUUGGAGGGGUAACGGCCCACCAAGGCGAUGAUAAGUCGCCGGUCUGAGAGGAUGAACGGCCAAAUGGGGACUGAGACACGGCCCAGACUCCUACGGGAGGCAGCAGUGGGGAAUCUUCCGCAAUGGACGAAAGUCUGACGGAGCAACGCCGCGUGAGUGAGGACGGCCUUCGGGUUGUAAAGCUCUGUUAAUCGGGACGCGGUACCGGAAUAGAAAGCCACGGCUAACUACGUGCCAGCCGCCGCGGUAAUAC